ACGGGUGAGUAAUGUCUGGGGAUCUGCCCGAUAGAGGGGGAUAACCACUGGAAACGGUGGCUAAUACCGCAUAACGUCGCAAGACCAAAGAGGGGGACCUUCGGGCCUCUCACUAUCAGAUGAACCCAGAUGGGAUUAGCUAGUAGGCGGGGUAACGGCCCACCCAGGCGACGAUCCCUAGCUGGUCUGAGAGGAUGACCAGCCACACUGGAACUGAGACACGGUCCAGACUCCUACGGGAGGCAGCAGUGGGGAAUAUUGCACAAUGGGCGCAAGCCUGAUGCAGCCAUGCCGCGUGUAUGAAGAAGGCCUUCGGGUUGUAAAGUACUUUCAGCGGGGAGGAAGGCGAUGUGGUUAAUAACCGCAUUGAUUGACGUUACCCGCAGAAGAAGCACCGGCUAACUCCGUGCCAGCAGCCGCGGUAAUACGGAGGGUGCAAGCGUUAAUCGGAAUUACUGGGCGUAAAGCGCACGCAGGCGGUCUGUUAAGUCAGAUGUGAAAUCCCCGGGCUUAACCUGGGAACUGCAUUUGAAACUGGCAGGCUUGAGUCUCGUAGAGGGGGGUAGAAUUCCAGGUGUAGC
rnacentral:rRNA from 1 species